GUAUACAAGAUUAGAAAGAAUCAAACAUAGUCAAAAUAUGAAUUCAAACCUAUCCUAUACGAACAAUGGAGUCUCUAUAGCCAUUAACACCACAUUUCUUUUCAUCUAUAACUCGUACAUCUUCGUUUCCUUCUCCAUCAACUUGUCUUAUUUAUGGCCUGAUAAAAUAAAAAAUUGAAGCAAUAAAAUAUACAUUCCCGCAAAAUUCAAAUACUAAUAUUUCUAAAAGCUAACAAGAAAUGUCUUUUAUAAUCACAAACUUAUGCAAAUCAGUUUACUAGAUAGGAACGAUGAUAAUACAUAAGAAUAUAGAUGCAUUCACUUCGGGAAAAAAUAAAUGAAAUUAAUGCAUGAACUAACUCAAGGAUCAAAGUGGGAAAAAAGUUUACCACAACGGAAGUAGCAAUCAGUUCAUCCAUAUCAAAAUAUGAUAAUCCAAUCAUUUUGUAAGCUGCAACAUAAAAAUGGACAACAUCUAUAGAGACAAGCAAUCAAAGUUAUGCACACAAUACAUAGAAUGUUAAGUAAACUUACAUUAAUAAUCAACAAUAACAAUUUACAUAAACUGUAAAUGUUGCAUGCUACUGCCACUGCCUAGACAACCUGUCUAAAAGAAUCUGAGAAAGCAAAUAUAGUAGUUAAUCAAGAUAUCAAUAAAAAUAUCACAUCAUAAAUUAAAGAUGUAAAUGGCUGAUAU
rnacentral:lncRNA from 1 species